UACGUAGGGUGCAAGCGUUGUCCGGAAUUAUUGGGCGUAAAGAGCUCGUAGGCGGUCAGUCGCGUCUGCUGUGAAAACUCGGGGCUUAACUCCGGGCCUGCAGUGGGUACGGGCUGACUAGAGUGCGGUAGGGGAGACUGGAAUUCCUGGUGUAGCGGUGAAAUGCGCAGAUAUCAGGAGGAACACCGGUGGCGAAGGCGGGUCUCUGGGCAUGUCCUGACGCUGAGGAGCGAAAGUGUGGGGAGCGAACAGG
rnacentral:rRNA from 1 species